GGGGAUGUUAUGGAUUCGACAGGAUUAUUUAUUUUUUUAUUAGCAUGUAAGAGGCUCGGCUCUUUAAAAACGGAACAGUUAAAUAUAACUGACAACAACAAAUCAUUCGCUUUAGCUGCCUAAUUUAGCUAAAGGCUAGUUUUUUAAUUUGACUAAGAUUAUAAAACUGGUUCAUUUAAUUAGUCUACGAUUAUAUACUUCCGCUUGCAGUAUAUAAUAAUAAGAUAAUCAAGCAAAUCUUUUAAAACCUGUUUAUCGGUUAUUUAUAAAGAUUAUUAUAGAUAAACUAAACAUGUAGAGGUAAAAGGAUGGUAUUUUUGGACGCGGGUUCAAAUCCCGCCAUCUCCAUAU
rfam:Gemella asaccharolytica strain KA00071 genomic scaffold Scaffold74, whole genome shotgun sequence.